rnacentral:rRNA from 1 species
UAAUACGAAGGGGGCUAGCGUUGUUCGGAAUCACUGGGCGUAAAGCGCACGCAGGCGGAUUGAUAAGUCGGGGGUGAAAUCCCGGGGCUCAACCUCGGAAUUGCCUUCGAUACUGUCUGUCUUGAGUCCGGGAGAGGUGAGUGGAAUUCCUAGUGUAGAGGUGAAAUUCGUAGAUAUUAGGAAGAACACCAGUGGCGAAGGCGGCUCACUGGCCCGGUACUGACGCUCAUGUGCGAAAGCGUGGGGAGCAAACAG